rnacentral:rRNA from 1 species
UCGCCUGUUUAUCAAAAACAUAGUUUAGUGAAUAAAUACUAAAUAAAUUCUGCCCAGUGUUUUAAAAAUAAAUGGCCGCAGUACCCUGACUGUGCUAAGGUAGCAUAAUCAAUUGGCUUUUAAUUGAAGUCUGGAAUGAAAGAAAUAAUGGAAAAAAACUGUCUUAAAAGUAUUAAUUUUAAUUUAUUUAAAAGGUGAAAAUACCUUUUUAAAUAAAAAAGACGAGAAGACCCUAAGAAUUUUUAAUUAGUUUAAAAGACUAAUUUUUUGUUGGGGCGACAAAUUAGUAAAAUUAACCUAAUUUUUUAAAUAGGCGAAUUUUUUAAGCAAUAAAAAAUUACCUUAGGGAUAACAGCAUAAUUAUAAAAUAGUUUGUGACCUCGAUGUUGGACUAGGAACUUUAUGGCUAGCAGUCAAAAAAGAUUUAUUCUGUUCGAAUAAUUUUAUCCU